AAAAAGUAAUGAUAUAAAUGAAAGUCUCAUAAAUGAACAACUUUUUUCUUUAAUCUUAUCCCAACUAAACCCAUGUGUAAAUUAGGAUUACUAAUCCCAUAAUUAUAGGAUUAAAUUCAAAUUUAGUCUCCCUUAGUUCAAUCCAAGUAAGCUUGCCAAACAUGGAAUAAAUAUUUAAUCACGAAAUUAAUCAAAUCCCAUACUUAAUUCUAGCAUCCAAACAUGGCGCUAGAUUUAAUCAAGAAUUUCAUUUUACUUAAUCCACGCUCACCUAAGUUUGGUGCCUCCCCUUUUCAUCUAUCAUAUUAUGAAAUAAAGAAUGUAUUUAACUUACUUCAUCAACGAUACUUUUAUUCGAUUGUCCUAAAAGAUUUUUUCCUCAAUAUACUUCCUUACGCCAUAGAUUGAAAUUAUUAUCUAAUUUACCUCUACUAUUUUUUUAAUAAUGUCCAAAAAAUUUAUAACUAUCUACUUAGUCGAGUAGUGGAAUCACUCAUUUAAUUUACAUUGUUCGGAAUAUUUGACUAAUUUGAAUUGACUAUAUUGUCUCUAUUGAUAUCAGCAAGACAUUGAAAUUUUUAUCGAAUUAAUAAAAAAUAUCUAACGUACAAUAAAAAUUAUAAGUCUUACAAUCUCAUUAAAAAAAAAAAAAACACACACACACUCUCUUACACUCACAGCUUCUGCAUAUCCUCUAGUCUAAUUUUUGUAUUUCCUUUUAAAUGUCUAUUGUCUUCUCGGUGCUUGUUAAGUUACAUAAUCAUGUAACUUAUAUCAACCCAAUACUUAUUACCACUAACACAUAUUCAAUUUUUAUUGUUUAUGUUUUUAUGUUAGUGGUAGCAAGUGUUGGGUUGAUGUAAGCUACAUGAUUAUGUAACUUAACAACUACCUUAUCUUAAUUUAUCCCAAAAAAAUGAUAAAAGCUCAUUUAGUCCCUUUAUUUUAAGAUUAGUAUCCAUUUAGUCCUUUUAUUUUUAAAAAUACCUCGAAACAUCUCUGCCGUUAAAGUAUUGAUACCCCUACCGUUACUUUUUAUUUUCUUUGGUUUACUUUUACAAUAUUACCCUUUUAUAAUUAUUUUUUUGGACAUUAAUAAAA
rnacentral:lncRNA from 1 species